UUGAUGUGGCUGGUCUUGAACUCCUGGGCUCCAGCACUCCUUCCACUUCAGCCUCGAGUCACUGAGAUGACAGGCAUGAGCCAUCACACCUGGCUCAGAAACUUCUAUUGCAGCAGCAGCAGAUGGUAUGAUUUCAAACAGCAAGCAAUACCAAAGUUCCUUUAGAGAUCCUCUUUUAAUUUUUUCCCUUUUCUUGAUUUCUCCUUAUAAUGGCUUUUAAAAAGUGAAGAGACCCUCUUUUACUUGUCUGGAUGUGUGCUGCCAGGCACAGAAUGGUUCUGAACAUUUGGAUUAAGAACCAGACAGCGUUUUUGAGAGCUACAUUACUAUUCAGAGAAAGGCCGCUGUUCACUCCUUCCACAGCUCAGCACGGGGAUAUAUUACUCCUGAGGCUUUCCCUCGCUGUUCUGCUCCCUAUUGGCCAGUCAGGGCUUCCUCACAAAAAGUUCUUGGUGCAGACAUGAAAUCUUACAGGGUUGCAAAGUUAACAUUUAGGAUUAGGGAUGAAGACAGCUACAAUGGAAACUGCAGAGCUUUACUGAACUUUUACAGUGUCCUUCAGGUAAAGGUGCCAUUUGUACUUCUGCCAGCACAGUAUGAGGAAAGAGAACUGAUGGAAACAACUGGAGCACUCCGUAUGUCAAAUACUUUUAUGUGCAUUGUCUGUUGGUUGCCCUUCUAACUGUUCACUGUGCAGGUGCUUUGAGGUAUUUUCAAACCUUUUUUUUCUUAAGAAACAGGGUCCCACUAUGUCGUCCAGGCUGGCCUUGAACACCUGGUCUCAAGCACUUCUGACAUCUCAGUCUCCUGAAUAGCUGGCACUACAGGUGCAAGCCACUGCACACACAGCUGUUUAAACUUUUGAGAAGCAGGAAGGUCUCUCUACUACUGUGUUUUAUUAAUAACACACUGAAGAGAAUCCCCAGACUCAUUCACCAGAAAGAACCUGGGAGAAUCUGGACUGAAGAACACUUACUGUGGUGUCCCUAUAUUCAGAAUUUCCUCCAUCAAUGAUGAUGUCACCAGUGUCCAACAAUGGUACCUGUAACCAGACACCAGCAUUAAGACGGACCAGAAAUGAAACAUACCUUGGCAAAUUAAAACAAAAAUUUAUUCCAAAUAAACAUAGUCUAAAAAGAGUC